rnacentral:rRNA from 1 species
GAUGAACGCUGGCGGCGUGCCUAAUACAUGCAAGUCGAGCGAACAGACGAGGAGCUUGCUCCUCUGACGUUAGCGGCGGACGGGUGAGUAACACGUGGAUAACCUACCUAUAAGACUGGGAUAACUUCGGGAAACCGGAGCUAAUACCGGAUAAUAUAUUGAACCGCAUGGUUCAAUAGUGAAAGACGGUUUUGCUGUCACUUAUAGAUGGAUCCGCGCCGCAUUAGCUAGUUGGUAAGGUAACGGCUUACCAAGGCAACGAUGCGUAGCCGACCUGAGAGGGUGAUCGGCCACACUGGAACUGAGACACGGUCCAGACUCCUCCGGGAGGCCGCAGUAGGGAAUCUUCCGCAAUGGGCGAAAGCCUGACGGAGCAACGCCGCGUGAGUGAUGAAGGUCUUCGGAUCGUAAAACUCUGUUAUUAGGGAAGAACAAAUGUGUAAGUAACUAUGCACGUCUUGACGGUACCUAAUCAGAAAGCCACGGCUAACUACGUG